UUUCUCUAGGGACUCGCAACUUGUAAAAUCUAAUCAGGAUGCAAUGAGAAACAUAUUAAUCGUAUUUGCCAAGUUAAAUCCGGGCAUAAGAUAUGUUCAAGGAAUGAAUGAAAUCUUGGCACCUCUAUUUUAUGUAUUCAAGAAUGACCCUGAUGCAGAAAUGGCGAUUACAGCUUUUGAAAAACAAUAUGGUAAUGUUCAUUUAUCAUUAUUGUUAUCAACUUGGCGGACAUAUAUAUAUAUUAUAUGCACCAAAUAUGGAGUAUCUAUGCCAACAUAUAGCCAUAAACCAAU